CCCACAGCUGCUUGCCAUUGCAAGUUUGGGUCGGAGGCCUGAAAAUGGUUCUGUCCCCAGGGAACUUCUACGUGGUUCAGCCUCCAGAAGCAAACUGGGAAUGUUUUUGUCCAAACUGCCCAGCAUCCUGGUGUGACAAAGCAAAAAUUUUGGCAAUAUUGUGGACCUUUUUCUGUCUCUUGUACUGAAGAUUUUCCUAGAAGAUUUGUGCUUUUGGGAGAGCUGAUGAAAUCAGACCUACAGCUUAACAUAAGGAAUAUUAGUGUUCAUCUUUCCUUGUCGUUUUCUUCAAAUUUGUCUUUGGUACUUCUAGUGCCUACUCUUGUUAUUUUGAUUUCUGUGUUUGCAACCAAGAUUUAGGUUAUUUCUAAUCUUUCUUCUUACACAUUUUUGGCAUUACCUACUGAUAAAUCUACACAAAUAAUUGUCAUUUCACUUUGUAGCCCAAAACAAAAACCCUAACUCAGAAUGCUAUCAGCCUGCCCUUCUAAUUUGCUUACAAGGUGCUUAGUGCUUUAUGUUCUGCAUUUAAUAUUCAGUCUGUGAGGCCUAAUCUAUGCUGUAUUGUGCACAGACAGUGCUCUGGAAUUAGCAGCCAGCACAACAGGAUUAUAAUUGUGUGUAAUCAAACCACCAGGCAAAUUGCAAAGCAAUUGCAAGUAUGGCACUCUAAGGCUUGACCUGUCAGCACUGCAGUUCUUGUAUCUGUUUUCCUUUUCUCCUUCAUUGGUAAGUCUGGUGGUAUGGCAAUUUGAGAUUUGCAUGGCUCUCCAAGGCUCUCCAAGCAAACCCUAUCCUUGUGACUCCAACUGUAUGAACUAAUGUGGCAGCAAAAACAGAGUAAUUGUCAAUUCAAAAGACAGAAGCUAAAAGGUCAAAUCCUGGCUCUAGGUUUGACUUUCCCUGGACCCUGCAUUAAGCCCUUCCGUUUGUUGCUGCUAUGUAAGUUUACAAGAUUGUUAAAAAUCCUAAUGGAGUUAUGUCAA